GUUCAGGCCUAACACAUGCAAGUCGAACGAGAUCUUCGGAUCUAGUGGCGGACGGGUGAGUAACGCGUGGGAACAUGCCCUCCACUACGGAAUAGUCCCGGGAAACUGGGUUUAAUACCGUAUACGCCCUUCGGGGGAAAGAAUUUCGGUGAAGGAUUGGCCCGCGUUAGAUUAGGUAGUUGGUGGGGUAAAGGCCUACCAAGGCGACGAUCCGUAGCUGGUCUGAGAGGAUGAUCAGCCACAUCGGGACUGAGACACGGCCCGAACUCCUACGGGAGGCAGCAGUGGGGAAUAUUGGACAAUGGGGGCAACCCUGAUCCAGCCAUGCCGCGUGUGUGAAGAAGGCUUUCGGGUUGUAAAGCACUUUCAGUAGGGAGGAAAACCUUAUGGCUAAUACCCAUGAGGCUUGACGUUACCUACAGAAGAAGCACCGGCUAACUCCGUGCCAGCAGCCGCGGUAAUACGGAGGGUGCAAGCGUUAAUCGGAAUUACUGGGCGUAAAGCGCGCGUAGGUGGUUUGGUAAGCGAGAUGUGAAAGCCCCGGGCUUAACCUGGGAACGGCAUUUCGAACUGUCAGACUAGAGUGUGGUAGAGGGUAGUGGAAUUUCCUGUGUAGCGGUGAAAUGCGUA
rnacentral:rRNA from 1 species